UACGAAGGGGGCUAGCGUUGCUCGGAAUCACUGGGCGUAAAGCGCACGUAGGCGGCUUUUUAAGUCAGGGGUGAAAUCCUGGAGCUCAACUCCAGAACUGCCUUUGAUACUGAGAAGCUUGAGUCCGGGAGAGGUGAGUGGAACUGCGAGUGUGGAGGUGAAAUUCGUAGAUAUUCGCAAGAACACCAGUGGCGAAGGCGGCUCACUGGCCCGGUACUGACGCUGAGGUGCGAAAGCGUGGGGAGCAAACAGGG
rnacentral:rRNA from 1 species